GGCUUGGCUGAGUGGUCUACCUUUAUGGUUUGUACUGCUCGGCUGGGUCUUUAUCUUCUGGCGAUACGGUAUGCCCUUCACUGGCGUGUGCCGGGGAGCCAGGACUUUUACCUUGAAAAAAUUAGAGUGUUCAAAGCAGGCAUUCGCCUGAAUAUAUUAGCAUGGAAUAAUAGAAUAGGACUUGGGUUCUAUUUUGUUGGUUUCUAGGACCAAAGUA
rnacentral:rRNA from 1 species